rnacentral:rRNA from 1 species
AGCAGCCGCGGUAAUUCCAGCUCCAAUAGCGUAUAUUAAAGUUGUUGCAGUUAAAAAGCUCGUAGUUGAAUUUCGGGAUUAGUACGCUGGUCGUGCCUUCGGUAUGUACUGGUGUUACUGGUUCCUACCUUCUGACGAACCGUCAUGUCAUUAAUUUGGUGUGGCGGGGAAUCAGGACUGUUACUUUGAAAAAAUUAGAGUGUUUAAAGCAGGCUCGCGCUUGAAUACAUUAGCAUGGAAUAAUGAAAUAGGACGUUCGAUCCUAUUUUGUUGGUUUCUAGGAUUGACGUAAUGAUUAAUAGGGAUAGUUGGGGGCAUUAGUAUUCAAUUGUCAGAGGUGAAAUUCUUGGAUUUAUUGAAGACUAACUACUGCGAAAGCAUUUGCCAAGGAUGUUUUCAUUAAUCAAGAACGAAAGUUAGGGGAUCGAAGACGAUCAGAUACCGUCGUAGUCUUAACCAUAAACUAUGCCGACUAGGGAUCGGAUGAUGUUAUUUUUAAUGACUCAUUCGGCGC